rnacentral:rRNA from 1 species
UACGGAGGUGGCAAGCGUUGUUCGGAAUCACUGGGCGUAAAGGGCGCGUAGGCGGGGCCGGAAGUCGGGUGUGAAAGCCCCGGGCUCAACCCGGGAAUGGCGCUCGAGACUCUGGCUCUUGAGUCCCGGAGAGGCGGGUGGAAGUUCCUGGUGUAGCGGUGAAAUGUGUAGAGAUCAGGAGGAACACCGGGUGGCGCAGGCGGCCCGCUGGACGGAGACUGACGCUGAGGCGCGAAAGCGUGGGGAGCAAACGGG